AGCGAACGUUAGCGGCGGGCCUAACACAUGCAAGUCGAGCGAGAAAGCGGCCUCGGCCGUUAGUAAAGCGGCGGACGGGUGAGUAACACGUGGAUAAUCUGCCCUUCAGCGGGGGAUAACUGUCCGAAAGGAUAGUUAAUACCGCGUACGUCGGCGAGGACCUCGGUUCUUGUCGGGAAAGCAGCCCUCUUCAUGAAAGG
rnacentral:rRNA from 1 species